rnacentral:rRNA from 1 species
CCUACGGGAGGCAGCAGUGGGGAAUAUUGGGCAAUGGGCGCAAGCCUGACCCAGCAACGCCGCGGGAAGGAAGAAGGCUUUCGGGUUGUAAACUUCUUUUAAGAGGGAAGAGCAGAAGACGGUACCUCUUGAAUAAGCCACGGCUAACUACGUGCCAGCAGCCGCGGUAAUACGUAGGUGGCAAGCGUUGUCCGGAUUUACUGGGUGUAAAGGGCGUUCAGCCGGGCUGACAAGUCAGAUGUGAAAUCCCGUGGCUCAACCACGGAACUGAAUUUGAAACUGUCGGUCUUGAGUAUCGGAGAGGCAGGCGGAAGUGCGAGUGUAGCGGUGAAAUGCGUAGAUAUUAGGAGGAACACCAGGGGCGAAGGCGGCCUGCUGGACGACAACUGACGGUGAGGCGCGAAAGCGUGGGGAGCAAACAGGAUUAGAUACCCCUGUAGUC